CCUACGGGGGGCUGCAGUGGGGAAUAUUGGACAAUGGGGGGAACCCUGAUCCAGCCAUGCCGCGUGUGUGAAGAAGGCCCUUGGGUUGUAAAGCACUUUCAGUGAGGAAGAACGCCUGGUGGUUAAUACCCAUCAGGAAAGACAUCACUCACAGAAGAAGCACCGGCUAACUCCGUGCCAGCAGCCGCGGUAAUACGGAGGGUGCGAGCGUUAAUCGGAAUUACUGGGCGUAAAGCGCGCGUAGGUGGCUUGAUAAGCCGGUUGUGAAAGCCCCGGGCUCAACCUGGGAACGGCAUCCGGAACUGUCAAGCUAGAGUGCAGGAGAGGAAGGUAGAAUUCCCGGUGUAGCGGUGAAAUGCGUAGAGAUCGGGAGGAAUACCAGUGGCGAAGGCGGCCUUCUGGACUGACACUGACACUGAGGUGCGAAAGCGUGGGUAGCAAACAGGAUUAGAUACCCUGGUAGUC
rnacentral:rRNA from 1 species